AGUGAACGCUGGCGGUAGGCCUAACACAUGCAAGUCGAACGGCAGCACAGUAAGAGCUUGCUCUUACGGGUGGCGAGUGGCGGACGGGUGAGGAAUACAUCGGAAUCUACUUUUUCGUGGGGGAUAACGUAGGGAAACUUACGCUAAUACCGCAUACGACCUACGGGUGAAAGCAGGGGAUCUUCGCACCUUGCGCGAUUGAAUGAGCGGAUGCUGGAUUAGUUGGUUGGCGGGUUAAUGGCCCACCAAGUCGAGGAUCCGUGGCUGGUCGGAGAGGAGGAUCAGCCACACUGGAACUGAGACACGCUCCAGAGGCCUGCGAGAGGCCGCAGUGGGGAAUAUUGGACAAUGGGCGCAAGCAUGAUCCAGCGGUACCACGUGGGUGAAGAAGGCCUUCGGGUUGUAAAGCCCUUUUGUGGGGACAAAAAAGCAGCAGCUUAAUACCACGCUGUUCUGACGGUAACCAAAGAAUAAGCACCGGCUAACUUCGUG
rnacentral:rRNA from 1 species